GCGGCGGAGGCGCCAUGACGGGCCCGCUGCGCCCCUGGGCUGCCCGGCCGGGGCCCGGCCGCCGGGGCGAGGGGAGAACCGACGGGGCCGGCCCCGGACAGGGGUGAGCGUCGGUGUGAGGGGACGGCCACUGCCGGGACCGCUUUGAAAGGGAGUACUGAGUGCCCAAACAUAUCCAAGGUGUGUGCUGACCAGCUGCUCCAGAAGAAUUCACCUACACGUUGCUCAUCUGGCCGUAUUUUCCUACAAACCACACUGAAGAAAAAAAAAACAAACAACAAAACAAAACACCACACACAACAAACCAAACUCCAAAACCCAGCUUU